UACGUAGGGGGCAAGCGUUGUCCGGAAUUAUUGGGCGUAAAGCGCGCGCAGGCGGUCUUUUAAGUCUUGUGUUUAAUCCCAGGGCUCAACCCUGGAACGCACACGGAAACUGGAAGACUGGAGUGCAGGAGAGGAAAGUGGAAUUCCACGUGUAGCGGUGAAAUGCGUAGAGAUGUGGAGGAACACCAGUGGCGAAGGCGACUUUCUGGCCUGUAAUUGACGCUGAGGCUCGAAAGCGUGGGGAGCGAACAGG
rnacentral:misc_RNA from 1 species